AUGAAUGGGCGCGACGGUGCUUUUGCAGGACAUCUGGCGUCAUAUACAUUUCCUACUGCCAAUGCAAGAUGCUGCCCGUGCUGCCUGUGUGUCUCACUCCUUUCUAUGCUCCUGGAGAUAAUUAAUGCACCAGUGGCAUCUAGCAAAUUUCGCCACCUCAAGAUCUUGAAUAUUUAUCUUGCGGGACUCCAUUCUCAUCGGGACUAUGAUUAUUUAUCCUUAGUUUCUUUUUUUGACGCUUCUCCUUUGUUGGAAAAGUUUGUCUUGUCUGUAUCACGAGUGCAGUCCAAGUAUGACUGGUUUGAGGGGGAUCCCUCAUCUCUGAGACAAAUGUCAGAACACCGCCAUCGCAACCUCAAGAGUGUGAAGAUCAGCAGUUUCUGCCCCCAAAAAAGCAUGGUUGAGCUAGCACGUCAUAUUCUUGAGAAUGCAACAUCGCUCGAGUGCUUUACAUUGGACACCACUCCUGCUAGUUACCGAUGUUCUGGCGAUAUACUGGACAGGAAAUGCCCUCCACUGGAAACUGAAUGUAUAAGGGAUGCACAUAAAUCACUCUUGGCUGUGAGAGCAUACAUCGACGGGAAAGUUCCCUCUACAGUCAAGUUAACCCUACCAGGGCCUUGCAACCGGUGUUAUGCUCUGUGA
rnacentral:rRNA from 1 species